GCUUGGAUAGCUCACUUGGUAGAGCAUAAGACUCUUGAUCUCAGGUUCAAGGGUUUGAGCCCCACAUUGCGCA